rnacentral:lncRNA from 1 species
GUGUGUUGUCCGACUAACUCACCCCUUGUGGGCGUAUGUUGUAGCGUUGUCCGUCUAACUCACCCCUUGUGGACGUAUGUUGUAGCAUUGUCCGACUAACUCACCCCUUGUGGACGUAUGUUGUAGCGUUGUCUGACUAACUCACCCCUUGUGGACGUAUGUUGUAGCGUUGUGUGACUAACUCACCCCCUUGUGGACGUAUGUUGUAGCGUUGUCCGACUAACUCACCCCUUGUGGACGUAUGUUGUAGCAUUGUCCGACUAACUCAACCCUUGUGGACGUAUGUUGUAGCAUUGUCCGACUAACUCACCCCUUGUGGACGUGCGUUGUCCGACUAACUCACCCCUUGUGGACGUAUUUUGUAGCGUUGUCCGACUAACUCACCCCUUGUGGACGUAUGUUGUAGCGUUGUCAGACUAACUCACCCCUUGUGGACGUGCGUUGUCCGACUAACUCACCCCUUGUGGACGUGCGUUGUCCGACUAACUCACCCCUUGUGGACGUGCGUUGUCCGACUAACUCACCCCUUGUGGACGUAUGUUGUAGCAUUGUCCGACUAACUCACCCCUUGUGGACGUGCGUUGUCCGACUAACUCACCCCUUGUGGACGUAUAUUGUAGCGUUGUCCGACUAACUCACCCCUUGUGGACGUAUGUUGUAGCGUUGUCCGACUAACUCACCCCUUGUGGACGUAUGUUGUAGCGUUGUCUGACUAACUCACCCCUUGUGGACGUGUGUUGUCCGACUAACUCACCUCUUGUGGACGUAUGUUGUAGCGUUGUCCGACUAACUCACCCCUUGUGGACAUGCGUUGUCCGACUAACUCACCCCUUGUGGACGUGUGUUGUAGCAUUGUCAGACUAACUCACCCCUUGUGGACGUAUGUUGUAGCGUUGUCUGACUAACUCACCCCUUGUGGACGUGUGUUGUCCGACUAACUCACCUCUUGUGGACGUAUGUUGUAGCGUUGUCCGACUAACUCACCCCUUGUGGACGUGCGUUGUCCGACUAACUCACCCCUUGUGGACGUGUGUUGUAGCGUUGUCAGACUAAGUCACCCCUUGUGGACGUAUGUUGUAGCAUUGUCAGACUAACUCACCCCUUGUGGACGUGUGUUGUAGCGUUGUCCGACUAACUCACCCCUUGUGGACGUGCGUUGUCCGACUAACUCACCCCCUGUGGACGUAUGUUGUAGCGUUGUCCGACUAACUCACCCCUUGUGGACGUGUGUUGUCCGACUAACUCACCCCUUGUGGGCGUAUGUUGUAGCGUUGUCCGACUAACUCACCCCUUGUGGACGUAUGUUGUAGCAUUGUCCGACUAACUCACCCCUUGUGGACGUAUGUUGUAGCGUUGUCAGACUAACUCACCCCUUGUGGACGUGCGUUGUCCGACUAACUCACCCCUUGUGGACGUAUGUUGUAGCGUUGUCCGACUAACUGGCCCCUUGUGGACGUGCGUUGUAGCGUUGUCCGAAUAACUCGUCCCUUGUGGACGUGCGUUGUCCGACGAACUCGCCCCUUGUGGACGUGCGUUGUCCGACUAACUCACCCCUUGUGGAUAUAUGUUGUAGCGUUGUCAGACUAACUCACCCCUUGUGGACGUAUGUUGUAGCGUUGUCUGACUAACUCACCCCUUGUGGACGUGUGCUGUCCGACUAACUCACCCCUUGUGGACGUAUGUUGUAGCGUUGUCCGACUAACUCACCCCUUGUGGACGUUCGUUGUCUGACUAACUCACCCCUUGUGGACGUAUGUUGUAGCGUUGUCCGACUAACUCACCCCUUGUGGACGUGCGUUGUCUG